rnacentral:tRNA from 1 species
UCCCUGAUGGUUCAGUUGGCGAAGAAUCUGCCUGCAAUGCAGGAGACCCAGGUUCAAUCCCUGGGUUGGGAA